rnacentral:rRNA from 1 species
ACGUAGGGCGCAAGCGUUGUCCGGAAUUAUUGGGCGUAAAGAGCUCGUAGGCGGUUUGUCGCGUCUGUCGUGAAAGCCCACAGCUUAACUGUGGGUCUGCGGUGGAUACGGGCAGACUAGAGGCAGGUAGGGGAGAACGGAAUUCCCGGUGUAGCGGUGAAAUGCGCAGAUAUCGGGAGGAACACCAGUGGCGAAAGCGGCUCUCUGGUCCAAA